GGGCGGUUAGCUCAGCGGUGAGAGCGCCUGUCUUACACACAGGAGGUCAGAGGUUCAAAUCCUCUACCGCCCACCA
rnacentral:tRNA from 2 species